CUCAGACAAUCACAAGCUGCGAAAUAGUGUCAGCAUGGAUAUCGUGCCAGGUUCGUAUGUUGACGAUUUUGGAUUCUUCUUUGCCGACGAAAUCAAUCCGUUAAAGAUCAAUAAAUGGUUAACGUACGCUACCUGCGGCUACAUCAUAGUCUCUCUAGUCAGCAUUGGACUGUUUCUCAAACGAAAUUUCUGGUUUCCAUGGAUUGAGAUGAUUCGUUGCCUGACUUUCCUUGGCUAUCAACUUCAGUUCAGAAUAUUUAUCGCGGAAUCAGGAGGAAACAGUGUCCUUAUGAACAGCAUCCGACUUCUUCACUUGUACUCGGCUGUGAAGUGUCAAGUUAAGUGUGUUGGUCAGGUGAGAGAUGCAAUACAAAAAGACAAAAUUAAGUGAAUACCUACAUCAAAAACUGUCGUGCGUGCCAUCUUGAAUACAUUUCCCGAAAGACAAUACAAGAGCUGCUUCCAAAAUUAUUCCUUUGGAAAUGCAAAAAAUUAAUGGCCCCGAAUAAUUCGCAGUCGAACGAUGUUCCAUUGAAUUUUUACUUUUCUUGCCACAGCAUGUAACAAAGGUUCUUUUUUAUGUUUAAAUUCAUUUGAAGUCUGCUCAUGUGUAUGGCAUUAUGUCCCCUAAAUAAAUUAACCUGUUUAGUAAUAUUUUAGGGCAUAGGCUGUAUACUUCCUUCUACAGUAUCAACAUCCUUCAGGGAAAUAAAUAGCUCAACCAUAAACUAGAAUUGUAUUUUAGGAUAUACAUUAAGGCUACACAUCCUUCCAGAAUUUUGAUAUCCUUGCACCACACUCAGGCAUAU